UCCAAAUUCGCUGCACAAUAUAUCUGAAAAUUGGCAUCAAGUUGCAUGUUCCAGCUGUCUUGAAGCUGGACAGAAACAAGUUGCAUUGCCUACUUGAAUUUUGGAUGUUCCUUUGCCUAUAAAAGGGGACCUUGGCCACGAUUUUGAAAGCAUCAAUCCUCUCCAUCAUAUUCUAGUUUCUUCAUUUUCUUUGUAACAUUUCACUAUGUAUUCCUAAACAUUUAGCUAGAGCUAAGGGUGAAACUUUGAUGAAUGUUUAGUAUUGUC
rnacentral:lncRNA from 1 species